UGGACCACUCCAACCCUACCCUUCCCCAACUACACCGCCCCCUGCUGGACAUCAGAGGGAGAAGGUGUUUGGAGAAGGGAGAGGAAUGUAAAGAAAGAAAAAAGGGCGGAUGCGGACCGACCCAGAGCAAGAGAAACACAAAGUUCCAGGGCCAGAGGAGGAGCCAGAUGCAGACACGCCCGGAGCCGACCAACUACCCAAGGAUGAUGCAAUCAGAUUUCGGCAGGGAUGGAUGGAGAGCCCAGUGAGCGAUGGGCACUACAGGUGCAGCGGGUGCCGUCCAGGCUUACCUUGGGAUCGAGUAUACACCGGAGAGUUUGGACGAGGGACCACCAGAGAGGCCCGACCUGAUCUGGCUGGAGAACAUGGAACAGACCCCUGCCCCACUGUCCAAGAGCCCCCACGCAAUGCAGCGCACCAAUACAUGAAGAUCAUCCGGCCCCUGCCCCACUGUCCAAGAGCCCCCACGCAAUGCAGCGCACCAAUACAUGAAGAUCAUACGGCCCCUGCCCCACUGUCCAAGAGCCCCCACGCAAUGCAGCGCACCAAUACAUGAAGAUCAUCCGGCCCCGGCGUCCUGUUUCCACCACCGUAUGCUGAAACCCCACCACCACACCCCCCCCCCCUCGCCUGUGACAUGCUAGUAACCUCUCCAGGUGGGCUGCCCCAUUCCCGUCCCCGCCAACGGCACCACCCCCCUCCCACCUGAUGCACCCACGUCGCCCGGACCAGGGAUCUGCGUUCCGGUACCAGGGGCUGACGCCCGUUCCCUUAAGGCUUGAGGGCGCCCCUGGCUGUAUUCGCUUCUGUACGCUUCACUGUUUUUAGCCGCUCCCAUAUCUAUGCCCGCGUCUACGCAACCGACGCCGGGAACGCAAAUGUUGUUGUUUAUAUCACUGUCCCACUAGAUGGAGCUCGGGGAUACACACGGGCGAGAUUCCAUGGGCCUUGAUUGCCCGUUUAUCAGAUGAGGUCCUGAGCGCAGUUGAAUAAAAGGGUCUAAUGCUCAGGUGGCGCAUUGCGUCCACCUGCCCGUGAUGACGGUCAGGACUAUUCCGUGGUUUCUUAGUUGUUCCCGUGCCCCGGGCCUCCCUGAAUACCCCAUGCGUGUGAUUGCUUAUUGUUACACGAC
ensembl:lncRNA